rnacentral:tRNA from 1 species
UAAAGAAAUAGGAAUUGAACCUAUAACUGAAAGAUCAAAACUCUCC